UGGGGAAUAUUGCGCAAUGGGCGAAAGCCUGACGCAGCGACGCCGCGUGAGUGAUGAAGGCCCUAGGGUUGUAAAGCUCUGUGGGGAGGGACGAAUAAGCGCCUAUAAACAGUAGGCGUGAUGACGGUACCUCCUUAGCAAGCACCGGCUAACUCUGUGCCAGCAGCCGCGGUAAGACAGAGGGUGCAAACGUUGUUCGGAAUCACUGGGCGUAAAGCGCGUGUAGGCUGUCGCGCAAGUCAAGUGUGAAAUCCCUGGGCUCAACCCAGGAAGUGCACUCGAAACUGCGCGACUCGAGUCCCGGAGAGGGAGGCGGAAUUCUCGGUGUAGAGGUGAAAUUCGUAGAUAUCGAGAGGAACACCAGUGGCGAAGGCGGCCUCCUGGACGGUGACUGACGCUCAGACGCGACAGCGUGGGGAGCAAACAGG
rnacentral:rRNA from 1 species